GGAUGAGUCUCAAGAUGGACAACCGGGAUGUUGCAGGAAAGGCUAACCGGUGGUUUGGGGUUGCUCCCCCUAAAUCUGGAAAAAUGAACAUGAACAUCCUUCACCAGGAAGAGCUCAUCGCUCAGAAGAAACGGGAAAUUGAAGCCAAAAUGGAACAGAAAGCCAAGCAGAAUCAGGUGGCCAGCCCUCAGCCCCCACAUCCUGGCGAACGCCCCAACCAGUGCGCCCAGCGCCCCUCCCAGCACACCCACCCCCAGCGCUGGGAAGAGGUCCCUGCUCAUCAGCAGGCGGACAGGCCUGGGGCUGGCCAGCCUGCCGGGCCCUGUGAAGAGCUACUCCCACGCCAAGCAGCUGCCCGUGGCGCACCGCCCGAGUGUCUUCCAGUCCCCUGACGAGGACGAGGAGGAGGACUAUGAGCAGUGGCUGGAGAUCAAAGUUUCACCCCCAGAGGGAGCCGAGACUCGGAAAGUGAUAGAGAAAUUGGCCCGCUUUGUGGCAGAAGGAGGCCCCGAGUUAGAAAAAGUAGCUAUGGAGGACUACAAGGAUAACCCAGCAUUUG
rnacentral:sRNA from 1 species